ACCGUACUCCUACGGGAGGCAGCAGUGGGGAAUUUUGGACAAUGGGGGCAACCCUGAUCCAGCAAUGCCGCGUGAGUGAAGAAGGCCUUAGGGUUGUAAAGCUCUUUUAUCCGGGACGAUAAUGACGGUACCGGAGGAAUAAGCCCCGGCUAACUUCGUGCCAGCAGCCGCGGUAAUACGAGGGGGGCUAGCGUUGCUCGGAAUCACUGGGCGUAAAGGGCGCGUAGGCGGCGUUUUAAGUCGGGGGUGAAAGCCUGUGACUCAACCACAGAAUGGCCUUCGAUACUGGGACGCUUGAGUAUGGUAGAGGUUGGUGGAACUGCGAGUGUAGAGGUGAAAUUCGUAGAUAUUCGCAAGAACACCGGUGGCGAAGGCGGCCAACUGGACCAUUACUGACGCUGAGGCGCGAAAGCGUGGGGAGCAAACAGGAUUAGAAACCCCAGUAGUCCUUGAC
rnacentral:rRNA from 1 species